rnacentral:rRNA from 1 species
GACGAACGCUGGCGGCGUGCUUAACACAUGCAAGUCGAACGGUAAGGCCCUUCGGGGUACACGAGUGGCGGACGGGUGAGUAACACGUGGGUGAUCUGCCCUGCACUUCGGGAUAAGCCUGGGAAACUGGGUCUAAUACCGGAUAGGACCCUGGGAUGCAUGUCCUGGGGUGGAAAGCUUUUGCGGUGUGGGAUGGGCCCGCGGCCUAUCAGCUUGUUGGUGGGGUGAUGGCCUACCAAGGCGACGACGGGUAGCCGGCCUGAGAGGGUUACCCGCCACACUGGGACUUGGAUACGGCCCAGACGCCUACGGGAGGCAGCAGUGGGGAAUAUUGCACCAUGGGCACAAGCCUGAUGCAGCGACGCCGCGUAAGGGAUGACGGCCUUCGGGUUGUAAACCUCUUUCAGCACCGACGAAGCGCAAGUGACGGUAGGUGCAGAAGAAGGACCGGCCAACUACGUGCCAGCCGCCGCCGUAA